rfam:Arabis alpina cultivar Pajares Aa.chr3_contig_3457, whole genome shotgun sequence.
UGUCCGAUGCCACGUCGAUGAUAGCUUUGCGAUGAACUUCGAUGCUACAUUGGACAUAUACAAAUGUUUGUGUUUCGCUUUCUGAUAGGAACCUGUGGAUCUUUAAAUCUUUGUGAUCUACGGAGCCAUUUCGGCGAUUACAUUU